AAGUAAUUAAUUCAAUUGGUAGAAUGCCUCGCUUACAACGAGAACGUUAAAGGUUCAAGUCCUUUAUUACUUA
rnacentral:tRNA from 1 species